rnacentral:rRNA from 1 species
CGAAGGUUAAGCGACUAAGCGUACACGGUGGAUGCCCUGGCAGUCAGAGGCGAUGAAGGACGUGCUAAUCUGCGAUAAGCGUCGGUAAGGUGAUAUGAACCGUUAUAACCGGCGAUUUCCGAAUGGGGAAACCCAGUGUGAUUCGUCACACUAUCAUUAACUGAAUCCAUAGGUUAAUGAGGCGAACCGGGGGAACUGAAACAUCUAAGUACCCCGAGGAAAAGAAAUCAACCGAGAUUCCCCCAGUAGCGGCGAGCGAACGGGGAGCAGCCCAGAGCCUGAAUCAGUGUGUGUGUUAGUGGAAGCGUCUGGAAAGGCGCGCGAUACAGGGUGACAGCCCCGUACACAAAAAUACACAUAUUGUGAGCUCGAUGAGUAGGGCGGGACACGUGGUAUCCUGUCUGAAUAUGGGGGGACCAUCCUCCAAGGCUAAAUACUCCUGACUGACCGAUAGUGAACCAGUACCGUGAGGGAAAGGCGAAAAGAACCCCGGCGAGGGGAGUGAAAAAGAACCUGAAACCGUGUACGUACAAGCAGUGGGAGCACGCUUAGGCGUGUGACUGCGUACCUUUUGUAUAAUGGGUCAGCGACUUAUAUUCUGUAGCAAGGUUAACCGAAUAGGGGAGCCGAAGGGAAACCGAGUCUUAACUGGGCGUUAAGUUGCAGGGUAUAGACCCGAAACCCGGUGAUCUAGCCAUGGGCAGGUUGAAGGUUGGGUAACACUAACUGGAGGACCGAACCGACUAAUGUUGAAAAAUUAGCGGAUGACUUGUGGCUGGGGGUGAAAGGCCAAUCAAACCGGGAGAUAGCUGGUUCUCCCCGAAAGCUAUUUAGGUAGCGCCUCGUGAAUUCAUCUCCGGGGGUAGAGCACUGUUUCGGCAAGGGGGUCAUCCCGACUUACCAACCCGAUGCAAACUGCGAAUACCGGAGAAUGUUAUCACGGGAGACACACGGCGGGUGCUAACGUCCGUCGUGAAGAGGGAAACAACCCAGACCGCCAGCUAAGGUCCCAAAGUCAUGGUUAAGUGGGAAACGAUGUGGGAAGGCCCAGACAGCCAGGAUGUUGGCUUAGAAGCAGCCAUCAUUUAAAGAAAGCGUAAUAGCUCACUGGUCGAGUCGGCCUGCGCGGAAGAUGUAACGGGGCUAAACCAUGCACCGAAGCUGCGGCAGCGACGCUUAUGCGUUGUUGGGUAGGGGAGCGUUCUGUAAGCCUGCGAAGGUGUGCUGUGAGGCAUGCUGGAGGUAUCAGAAGUGCGAAUGCUGACAUAAGUAACGAUAAAGCGGGUGAAAAGCCCGCUCGCCGGAAGACCAAGGGUUCCUGUCCAACGUUAAUCGGGGCAGGGUGAGUCGACCCCUAAGGCGAGGCCGAAAGGCGUAGUCGAUGGGAAACAGGUUAAUAUUCCUGUACUUGGUGUUACUGCGAAGGGGGGACGGAGAAGGCUAUGUUGGCCGGGCGACGGUUGUCCCGGUUUAAGCGUGUAGGCUGGUUUUCCAGGCAAAUCCGGAAAAUCAAGGCUGAGGCGUGAUGACGAGGCACUACGGUGCUGAAGCAACAAAUGCCCUGCUUCCAGGAAAAGCCUCUAAGCAUCAGGUAACAUCAAAUCGUACCCCAAACCGACACAGGUGGUCAGGUAGAGAAUACCAAGGCGCUUGAGAGAACUCGGGUGAAGGAACUAGGCAAAAUGGUGCCGUAACUUCGGGAGAAGGCACGCUGAUAUGUAGGUGAAGUCCCUUGCGGAUGGAGCUGAAAUCAGUCGAAGAUACCAGCUGGCUGCAACUGUUUAUUAAAAACACAGCACUGUGCAAACACGAAAGUGGACGUAUACGGUGUGACGCCUGCCCGGUGCCGGAAGGUUAAUUGAUGGGGUCAGCGCAAGCGAAGCUCUUGAUCGAAGCCCCGGUAAACGGCGGCCGUAACUAUAACGGUCCUAAGGUAGCGAAAUUCCUUGUCGGGUAAGUUCCGACCUGCACGAAUGGCGUAAUGAUGGCCAGGCUGUCUCCACCCGAGACUCAGUGAAAUUGAACUCGCUGUGAAGAUGCAGUGUACCCGCGGCAAGACGGAAAGACCCCGUGAACCUUUACUAUAGCUUGACACUGAACAUUGAGCCUUGAUGUGUAGGAUAGGUGGGAGGCUUUGAAGUGUGGACGCCAGUCUGCAUGGAGCCGGCCUUGAAAUACCACCCUUUAAUGUUUGAUGUUCUAACGUGGACCCGUGAUCCGGGUUGCGGACAGUGUCUGGUGGGUAGUUUGACUGGGGCGGUCUCCUCCUAAAGAGUAACGGAGGAGCACGAAGGUUGGCUAAUCCUGGUCGGACAUCAGGAGGUUAGUGCAAUGGCAUAAGCCAGCUUGACUGCGAGCGUGACGGCGCGAGCAGGUGCGAAAGCAGGUCAUAGUGAUCCGGUGGUUCUGAAUGGAAGGGCCAUCGCUCAACGGAUAAAAGGUACUCCGGGGAUAACAGGCUGAUACCGCCCAAGAGUUCAUAUCGACGGCGGUGUUUGGCACCUCGAUGUCGGCUCAUCACAUCCUGGGGCUGAAGUAGGUCCCAAGGGUAUGGCUGUUCGCCAUUUAAAGUGGUACGCGAGCUGGGUUUAGAACGUCGUGAGACAGUUCGGUCCCUAUCUGCCGUGGGCGCUGGAGAACUGAGGGGGGCUGCUCCUAGUACGAGAGGACCGGAGUGGACGCAUCACUGGUGUUCGGGUUGUCAUGCCAAUGGCACUGCCCGGUAGCUAAAUGCGGAAGAGAUAAGUGCUGAAAGCAUCUAAGCACGAAACUUGCCCCGAGAUGAGUUCUCCCUGACCCUUUAAGGGUCCUGAAGGAACGUUGAAGACGACGACGUUGAUAGGCCGGGUGUGUAAGCGCAGCGAUGCGUUGAGCUAACCGGUACUAAUGAACCGUGAGGCUUAACCUUACAACGCCGAAG